AAUAGUAAUAACUGAAAAAUGUAUUUGAAAUAAUUUUUAUAAAUCUAAGACAUGAUGCUUUUUAUGAAUUUAUGUUAGUAUGUGAAUGGAAUAAAUAGAAAUUAGAAUAUACAUGAUAGUUAAAUAGAGAAAUAAACUAGUAGUAAUUAGUUUAAACAAAACUAAUCCUAGUUACCUAAACUAAAAGUUCCGUUUAUUUGCUAUCAAUUAGGCAUGGCUUGGCUACAAUAUUUAAUUUAGUCUAGAAACUAAAGAAAAUUCUAGAAAAAAAAAAUGAGCUCUCAAGUGUAUUACUAAAAUAUUGCCAUGUGUUUAAUUAAGUACCACAUAUUAGAAUAUCUUGUUGAAGCUAGUAUAUAUAUAUAUAAGGAAAAUAAAAUAUCUGGGGGAUAGCCUUACAUUUUGGGAGAAGAAGGGACAGCCGUGGCCAUUGAUGAGUCUCCAAGUUUUUAUCUUCGAUUUUAUGUCGAAAUUUCAAUCUGAUCGCGUAAAACCUAAUAAAUCGAUACAUAAGGCUGAUGAUUAUCAUCGGUGGUCGCAAAGAUAGGAUAAUAACCGGAAGAGAAAAACUAUGCGAAGAGACGGAAAAGUAAAGGUGGUAAAAUGACUUAUGCUCAUAAGUCUAUCAGGUUAGUUGGCAUUGGAGAGUACUAGUUGAGGUUUCUUACUGUCCGUCUCAGCACUGCAUCCUUGACGGGUCACUGAGCUCUGUUACCGAUAGAUCUUUCGAAUGGUUAGUUGUGGCAUGUUGGCACUAAAUAUUAUACUAAGCUACUUCCGUUGUAAUUGUAAAUAUUAGAUAAUGAUUUAAAUAUUUAGUUUUGGCUGGAAAAAAAGAAAUAAUAAAAAUUUUAAAUUACCA